GACGAACGCUGGCGGUGUGCUUAACACAUGCAAGUCGAACGGUAAGGCCCUUUCGGGGGUACACGAGUGGCGAACGGGUGAGUAACACGUGAGUAACCUGCCCUCAUCUCUGGGAUAACAGUCGGAAACGGUUGCUAAUACUGGAUAUGAGCUUGCAAGGCAUCUUGUGGGUUGGAAAGAUUUUUUUGGUUGGGGAUGGACUCGCGGCCUAUCAGCUUGUUGGUGAGGUAGUGGCUCACCAAGGCUUCGACGGGUAGCCGGCCUGAGAGGGCGACCGGCCACAUUGGGACUGAGAUACGGCCCAAACUCCUACGGGAGGCAGCAGUGGGGAAUAUUGCACAAUGGACGGAAGGCUGAUGCAGCAACGCCGCGGGCGGGAUGACGGCCUUCGGGUUGUAAACCGCUUUCAAUUGUGACGAAGCUUUUUGUGACGGUAGCAGUAGAAGAAGCACCGGCUAACUACGUG
rnacentral:rRNA from 1 species